UACGGGGGGGGCAAGCGUUGUUCGGAAUUACUGGGCGUAAAGGGCGCGUAGGCGGCCUGCUAAGUCGGAUGUGAAAUCCCUCGGCUCAACCGAGGAACUGCAUCCGAUACUGGCGGGCUUGAAUCCGGGAGAGGGAUGUGGAAUUCCAGGUGUAGCGGUGAAAUGCGUAGAUAUCUGGAGGAACACCGGUGGCGAAGGCGGCAUCUGGCCCAAUACUGACGCUGCAGCGCGAAAGCUAGGGGAGCAAACGGG
rnacentral:rRNA from 1 species